rnacentral:rRNA from 1 species
AACGUAGGAGGCAAGCGUUAUCCGGAGUUACUGGGCGUAAAGCGCGUGUAGGCGGCUCGGUAAGUGGGUCGUGAAAGCACCCGGCUAAACUGGGUGAGGACGAUCGAGACUGCCAGACUAGAGUGUGGCAGAGGGGGGUGGAAUUCCGCGUGUAGCAGUGAAAUGCGUAGAGAUGCGGAGGAACACCGAUGGCGAAGGCAGCCCCCUGGGCUAACACUGACGCUCAGGCACGAAAGCGUGGGGAGCAAACAGG